rnacentral:rRNA from 1 species
UACGUAGGGUGCGAGCGUUGUCCGGAAUUAUUGGGCGUAAAGAGCUCGUAGGCGGUCUGUCGCGUCGAUCGUGAAAACUUGGGGCUUAACCCUGAGCUUGCGGUCGAUACGGGCAUGACUGGAGUUCGGCAGGGGAGACUGGAAUUCCUGGUGUAGCGGUGAAAUGCGUAGAUAUCUGGAAGAACACCGGUGGCGAAGGCGGUAAACUGGCUCUUAACUGACGCUGAGGCGCGAAAGCGUGGGUAGCGAACGGG